AACGAACGCUGGCGGCAUGCCUAACACAUGCAAGUCGAACGAAACUUUCUGGUCUCGUAGCGCACGCGUUCGUCACUCGUGGGAUCCUUCCCUUACGUUCGGAAUACCUCCCCGCAACGGGUCCUAAUACCGGAUAUUGUCUUUGGACCCAAGAUUUAUCGCCUUUUGAUGGUCCCUCCUUGGAUUAGCUUGUUUGUAGGGUAACUGCCUACCAAGGCUUCGAUGCACAGCUGGUCAGAGAGGAUGAUCAGAAACACUGGGACUGAGACACAGCACAGACUCCUACGGGAGGGAGGAGAGGGGAAUAGUGGAAAACGGGGGAAAGGCUGAAGCAGCAAGGACGGGUGAGUGAUGAAGGCAUUAGGGUUGGAAAGCGAGAUUAACCGGGAAGAUAAUGACAGUACCGAGAGAAUAAGCCACGGCUAACUACGUG
rnacentral:rRNA from 1 species